GGGGUGUUGGCGUAGCUCAGAUGGUAGAGCGCUCGCUUAGCGUGCGAGAGGUACUGGGAUCGAUACCCAGCGCCUCCA